UACGAGGGGGGCGAGCGUUGUUCGGAAUUAUUGGGCGUAAAGGGUGCGUAGGCGGUUUGGUAAGUCUGAUGUGAAAUCUAUGGGCUCAACUCAUAGUCUGCAUCGGAAACUGCCGGGCUUGGGUGUGGGAGAGGUGAGUGGAAUUCCUGGUGUAGCGGUGAAAUGCGUAGAUAUCAGGAGGAACACCUGUGGCGAAAGCGGCUCACUGGACCAUAACUGACGCUGAUGCACGAAAGCUAGGGGAGCAAACAGG
rnacentral:rRNA from 1 species